rnacentral:rRNA from 1 species
GACGAACGCUGGCGGCGUGCCUAAUACAUGCAAGUCGAGCGGACCGGAUUGGGGCUUGCCUUGAUUCGGUCAGCGGCGGACGGGUGUGUAACACGUGGGCAACCUGCCCGCAAGACCGGGAUAACUCCGGGAAACCGGAGCUAAUACCGGAUAACACCGAAGACCGCAUGGUCUUCGGUUGAAAGGCGGCCUUUGGGCUCUCACUUGCGGAUGGGCCCGCGGCGCAUUAGCUAGUUGGUGAGGUAACGGCUCACCAAGGCGACGAUGCGUAGCCGGCCUGAGAGGGUGACCGGCCACACUGGGACUGAGACACGGCCCAGACUCCUACGGGAGGCAGCAGUAGGGAAUCUUCCGCAAUGGGCGAAAGCCUGACGGAGCGACGCCGCGUGAGCGAAGAAGGCCUUCGGGUCGUAAAGCUCUGUUGUGAGGGACGAAGGAGCGUCGUUCGAAGAGGGCGGCGCGGUGACGGUACCUCACGAGAAAGCCCCGGCUAACUACGUG